UCUGGGAGGACCAUCUCCUAAGGCUAAAUACUCUCUAGUGACCGAUAGUGAACCAGUACCGUGAGGGAAAGGUGAAAAGCACCCCGGAAGGGGAGUGAAAUAGAACCUGAAACCGUGUGCUUACAAGUAGUCAGAGCCCGUUAAUGGGUGAUGGCGUGCCUUUUGUAGAAUGAACCGGCGAGUUACGAUUUGAUGCAAGGUUAAGCAGUAAAUGUGGAGCCGUAGCGAAAGCGAGUCUGAAUAGGGCGUUUAGUAUUUGGUCGUAGACCCGAAACCAGGUGAUCUACCCUUGGUCAGGUUGAAGUUCAGGUAACACUGAAUGGAGGACCGAACCGACUUACGUUGAAAAGUGAGCGGAUGAACUGAGGGUAGCGGAGAAAUUCCAAUCGAACCUGGAGAUAGCUGGUUCUCUCCGAAAUAGCUUUAGGGCUAGCCUCAAGUGAUGAUUAUUGGAGGUAGAGCACUGUUUGGACGAGGGGCCCCUCUCGGGUUACCGAAUUCAGACAAACUCCGAAUGCCAAUUAAUUUAACUUGGGAGUCAGAACAUGGGUGAUAAGGUCCGUGUUCGAAAGGGAAACAGCCCAGACCACCAGCUAAGGUCCCAAAAUAUAUGUUAAGUGGAAAAGGAUGUGGCGUUGCCCAGACAACUAGGAUGUUGGCUUAGAAGCAGCCAUCAUUUAAAGAGUGCGUAAUAGCUCACUAGUCGAGUGACACUGCGCCGAAAAUGUACCGGGGCUAAACAUAUUACCGAAGCUGUGGAUUGUCCUUUGGACAAUGGUAGGAGAGCGUUCUAAGGGCGUUGAAGCAUGAUCGUAAGGACAUGUGGAGCGCUUAGAAGUGAGAAUGCCGGUGUGAGUAGCGAAAGACGGGUGAGAAUCCCGUCCACCGAUUGACUAAGGUUUCCAGAGGAAGGCUCGUCCGCUCUGGGUUAGUCGGGUCCUAAGCUGAGGCCGACAGGCGUAGGCGAUGGAUAACAGGUUGAUAUUCCUGUACCACCUAUAAUCGUUUUA
rnacentral:rRNA from 1 species